CACGGGGGGAGCAAGCGUUGUUCGGAAUCACUGGGCGUAAAGGGCGUGUAGGCGGUCAGGUAAGUGGGAUGUGAAAUGCCCCGGCUCACCCGGGGACCGGCAUCCCAUACUGCUUGGCUUGAGUACGGGAGAGGAUGUGGGAAUUCCUGGUGUAGCGGUGAAGUGCGUAGAUAUCAGGAGGAACACCGGUGGCGAAGGCGCACAUCUGGCCCGAUACUGACGCUGAGGCGCGAAAGCUAGGGGAGCAAACGGG
rnacentral:rRNA from 1 species